rnacentral:rRNA from 1 species
ACAAGCGGUGGAGUAUGUGGUUUAAUUCGAUGCAACGCGAAAACCUUACCUACCCUUGACAUGUCUAGAAGUCUCCAGAGAUGGAUUCGUGCUCGAAAGAGAGCUAGAACACAGGUGCUGCAUGGCCGUCGUCAGCUCGUGUCGUGAGAUGUUGGGUUAAGUCCCGCAACGAGCGCAACCCUUAUCAUUAGUUGCUACGCAAGGGCACUCUAAUGAGACUGCCGGUGACAAACCGGAGGAAGGUGGGGAUGACGUCAGGUCAUCAUGGCCCUUAUGGGUAGGGCUACACACGUCAUACAAUGGCCGGUACAGAGGGCUGCCAACCCGCGAGGGGGAGCUAAUCUCAGAAAACCGGUCGUAGUCCGGAUCGCAGUCUGCAACUCGACUGCGUGAAGUCGGAAUCGCUAGUAAUCGCGGAUCAGCUUGCCGCGGUGAAUACGUUCCCGGGUCUU